rnacentral:rRNA from 1 species
UUAAUCCUACGGGACGCAGCAGUGAGGAAUAUUGGUCAAUGGGCGGGAGCCUGAACCAGCCAAGUCGCGUGAGGGAAGACGGUCCUAUGGAUUGUAAACCUCUUUAGGCGGGGAGCAAUGCCGGGCACGCGUGCCCGGAGGGAGAGUACCCGCAGAAUAAGCAUCGGCUAACUCCGUGCCAGCAGCCGCGGUAAUACGGAGGAUGCGAGCGUGCUCCGGUUUUAUUGGGUUUAAAGGGUGCGUAGGCGGAUUUUUAUGUCAGCGGUAAAAUGUCCGGGCUCAACCC